UACAGAGGUCUCAAGCGUUGUUCGGAUUCAUUGGGCGUAAAGGGUGCGUAGGCGGCGCGGUAAGUCGGGUGUGAAAUCUUGGAGCUUAACUCCGAAACUGCAUUCGAUACUGCCGUGCUUGAGGACUGGAGAGGAGACUGGAAUUUACGGUGUAGCGGUGAAAUGCGUAGAUAUCGUAAGGAACACCCGUGGCGAAGGCGGCUCUCUGGGACGGUACUGACGCUGAGACGCGAAAGCGUGGGGAGCGAACAGG
rnacentral:rRNA from 1 species